UAUGCUGUAACUGCGCCUGCACAGAUCCAGUACCCAGACCGCAGAUGUCCAGCAGAAACAAGAUGAAACCCAGCUGCAGUGUGCUGUGCUCUGUGGAGAAUGGGAGAGAGGUCACCCUGUCCUGGCACAGAGAGGGGCAGACACUGUCCCACACCAGCAGCCCUAAUUUCAGCUCCCCCCUGUCCCUCCCUCUGGAGAUAGAAACGAACAGCGCCCCCUACAGCUGCGUGGCAACGAACCCUGUCAGUAAUAAGACUGUCAUCGUCAGACCUGAAGAGCACUGCUUCGAUCGAGACAUUCGCAGCCUUCUGGUAGCUGGGAUUGAAGCCUUUAUUGGGAUUUUAUUCAUUAUUCUAAUGGGCACAUACGUCUGCCUUCUGAUAAGGAGCAACACACCUGGAAGUUGAGUCCAGCACCCAAGAUGUAGCUCGCUGCUACACACAGAUCCUGGACAUCUGUUGGAGGACCCUGAAGCUGAAGUUGAGGUCGUGAAAACAAAAUGGUGGACGGCAACACCAGAGCGCUGAUUGGAGUAUCAGCAUAAACUUGACAUGAAAGAUGGCACAUUAACAUGUUUCACAUCUUCCGUUGCUGUGCUGUUGAUGUAUACCAGCAAAAAGACUGUAUAAUUACAAUCUGACUUUCACUGUAAUGCUUUCAGUUUGAAGUGACAGUUUGAGGUGUAACAUAAUGACAUACCUGAUUAAGCUGUGACAGGCCAUCAUUGAAAUUAAGAGCUGUUUAUUGAAUGACAAUAUUGCCCUUUUAUUACUAGGGGGAGACCAAGUUUAAGAUCUGCACAGCUGGCCCUGUCUUAGGGGAGAGGCUUUGGCUUUGACUGCUGAAUAGGGUCUCUCCAAAAAUCCUUGUGGUUCUUUUUUUGUUUGAACUUGAUCCAGGAGAGGUGCAUUUCAGGUGUCUGUUUUCAAAGUACUUGUUGUGUUUUGUUUCUUUAGUUUUUUCACACCAGAUGGGCUUUCAGCUUGUUUCUCCAGACUGUUCUCUCAGGUCAGCAGAUGUUCUUAUACACAGCAACUUACACAGGUUACAUUUAUACAUUAAAUCCACUUUUACUGCUGAAUACUGCACUGUCAUCCCUGUCAGUCCACUCCAGCCUUAGUGCUUUAAAAACUAUUUAUUUAUCAUACCUGCAAACUAGUCGCUUUUCGGCGAAAUUCGCCGUUUUGAAUCCAAAAUAGGUCAUUUGUGUGAUUCGUGUACAUCCGAUGAGUUUUUGAAAUUUGGGGGGGGGUAGUGGUUAACCUAGAAAGUUUUCACCGCAGGUUUUCGCCACAAUCAGUUAGUAAUGAGCCAAUAACUGUUACACCACCGCCGUUUGUGGUGUUCACUCGCUGGGUGACGCUGUCAUAAAAUUUCCCCCGACCGUGAAGACUGCCUUAGCCUACUUGUUUACAUUUUGGACAGAUGUGGCUCGGGGUAAAUCUAUCGCUGUUUCCGUCGCAGCACUUUCGACACAAGCAAUGUUGGAAGCGCUAUCUUAAAAUUUCAUCUUACCAUGAAGAGUGCCUGACGCGCAACCGUAGUAAUGUGUUAACACUAAAUUUUACGACAACGCUAGCUAACCUUUAAAACAAGUAGAAAUUAACGCCAUCAGCGGUGAUUAACAAAUCUACCAAGUAUUUUAAUAAUGGAUUUGCAGGCGUGGAUUUCGAAUUAUUUGUAUUUUUUUGUAGACCAUUAAGAGCAAUGGAGAAGAGCCAACGUCCUAAUUGUCAAAUUGUCUGUACCCAUCGCUUACAGCAAAGUGCUAGUUAUUUUUGGCUGGACCGCAAGAGCGGGGCAGUCCUCAAAACCACAUAGGCCUACUAGGUUUUGACCUGGUCAGAAAGAAAACCACUGGGUGCCCUAGUGACGGGUGCUGAGCUGAAAAAGGAGCAGGCAGAAAAUCCCUUAAACUGAUUAACGUUAUUAUUGGUGUCAACUUGUUUUUAAUUGUUGUACUUGAUUAGAAAUGACAUAUUACUAAAUAUGAUAGAGACAUUUCUCCUCAAUUAGCUUAGACGAGAAAAACAUUCUAUUUGCGUCGCAAAGUUGUGCACAUUUCAAUCGACAUAUUAAAAACUGGAUAAACGUACACACCCCGAAAAUGUUCAUGGCAAAGAUCUGGAAUACGCAGAUUUUGUCAUUUGAACGAGCACAGGUUAGAUGGCAUUUUUUAGAUUAUAAUUUAUUUUGAAUUUAUUUGAUCUUCAUAGCAUGGCGUGACGAAGGAAACAAUUGAAUUAUUCAGAUUGUGGGUAGACUUGUUAAUCAAGGGAAAUGAUUGAAAGUCAAGACUAGACUAAUAAUCAGGGGAAGUUUUCUGCCGCCUCGAUUUUCAGCUCAGCAGCCACCACUGUGCCUUAAGUUAAACUAUCAGUACUAGUCAGUUAAAUAAUGUGUAUAAUAGAACACUCUUUGCCACACCAUAUUGUACCUCCGAGAAUUUAAAUAAAGGUUCUGAUUGCCACUAUAAAAACUCUCUCUCUCUUUCUCUCUCUCUCUACCAAAAUAUAACAUCAGCUGUGUUUUCCAUUUGAUUUGUCAGUUGUGCAUAUUGUGUUUUUGUUUUGUUUGAUCAACUUUAUUGUAUAGUGGAUGCAAUGCAUUUUAAUACAAUUUUGGACCCGGCUCUGCAUUCUCUUGACUUUUUUUUUUGUGCCCUGAACUGAUGUCCCCCUUACAUUACUUUUGUAAUGUAAGGGGGACAUUAGCAGUAAGAUUACAUUAAUUCUAUGGUGAGUUUUUCCCUAUAUCCUCAUGCUAAAAUCUACUGUAAAUCCACAUAUUAAAGCUGAUAUUUAAAA